GAAAUACCACAUGGAAUUAAGUGAUUUUUCUUUAAUUUUUUUGGCUUAUUUAUUUUGUUUUCUUUUUUGUUUUGAGACACAGGUUUACCUCAGUUCCUAAAGUACUGGAGCUUCGGACAUUGCCACCAAGAUUUAUCAAGAAUUGUCUUUGGUGCUGAGAAUCUGUUACAAACAUGCUGAGAGCUGCCAUAGGCAUAUACAGCAGCAAUUGAAGUCUGCAUAAAACACAGACAUGCCCAGAGGAAAGAACAUAUGGAGAUACAGGAGGAAGUCAGGCCAUUAGCAAGUGAAGAAGGGCUGUAGACUCUACUGAUAUUUUGCUCUGAAUUUCAGCAUACAAAACUGCGUUCCCGGCUAGCAGCCGACCUGCUGCAGCUGAGCUGCUCAGAACCAUCCACCCAGCCCGGAGACAGUUUCUAGCUGCCUAGAGACAGGGUUUCUCUGUGGCUUUGGAGAAGAAAACAUUUUUUAUACUACCAAACAGUGGGCUGCAUGGUACGUCCAUAAAGACCAGUUGUAUAUUUGGUACCCUUGGAAGCUGGAAGAGGGCACUGGAUCUCCUGGAAUUGGAGUUGUGAUGAUUGUAGCUGCUAUAUGGGUGCUGGGAAUUGAAACUGGGACAUCUGGAAGUGAAGCCAGAGCACUUAACUCUUAAACCACUUCUCCACUCUGAUAAUUAAUUUUAAUUACUAGUUUGCUAAGGCAAUGGUUGAGAAUACUGUUCAGCACACUCUGGAAAAUCAAAGAAUCAUCUGUAUUGAGGAGUUUAAGAUGUUUAUUUGUUCUUAUGUGCAUUUAUCUAUAUGUGUUACAUGAACAUUUGUGAGUGUGUGAGAAAUUUAAAUCAUUAAAUCAGGACUACAGGUUAUCAUUGUGGUGAUAUAUUCCCAGAGUGUUGAGUGUUCUUUAUUAAGUUAUUUUAAAUAACAAUACUGGUAAAGAUCAUUAACAAAAAUUUUCACAUUGUCAAGAAUAUUUAUAUCAACAAUCUCAUUUUUGUCCUUGUGGUAGCUCUGACAUUUGGAUACUAGUUUUAAUAUAACUUGACAAAUUAUAAUUGUAUCUAUUUAAGUUAUAUAUAGUGAUAUGAAAAUAAAACAUGUAUGCCUUGUGGAAUUAUUAAAUCAGGCUAAUAUUGUGA
rnacentral:lncRNA from 1 species